AUUGAACGCUGGCGGCAGGCCUAACACAUGCAAGUCGAGCGGAUGAAGGGAGCUUGCUCCCUGAUUCAGCGGCGGACGGGUGAGUAAUGCCUAGGAAUCUGCCUGAUAGUGGGGGACAACGUUUCGAAAGGAACGCUAAUACCGCAUACGUCCUACGGGAGAAAGCAGGGGACCUUCGGGCCUUGCGCUAUCAGAUGAGCCUAGGUCGGAUUAGCUAGUUGGUGAGGUAAUGGCUCACCAAGGCGACGAUCCGUAACUGGUCUGAGAGGAUGAUCAGUCACACUGGAACUGAGACACGGUCCAGACUCCUACGGGAGGCAGCAGUGGGGAAUAUUGGACAAUGGGCGAAAGCCUGAUCCAGCCAUGCCGCGUGUGUGAAGAAGGUCUUCGGAUUGUAAAGCACUUUAAGUUGGGAGGAAGGGUUGCUGAUUAAUACUCUGCAAUUUUGACGUUACCGACAGAAUAAGCGCCGGCUAACUCUGUGCCAGCCGCCGCCGUAA
rnacentral:rRNA from 1 species